AAGACUCUAGUAAAUUUAUUACAUAGCCCUGUCAGUGCUAAAUUAUAGACAACAUCUAUGAGCCUUA
rnacentral:tRNA from 1 species